rnacentral:ncRNA from 2 species
GUGUUCACAAGCCGCAGGGGAAUGAAGGUGAAAGUCCUUCGCUAUACCAGUAACCGUAACUUCGAGCAGCCCUCGAUCAAGUCGGAAUGCCUGCCAGCCU